ACGGAGGGUGCGAGCGUUAAUCGGAAUUACUGGGCGUAAAGCGCACGUAGGCGGUGUCGUAAGUCGGAUGUGAAAGCCCCCGGCUCAACCGGGGAACUGCAUUCGAUACUGCGUUGCUAGAGUGCGGGAGAGGGGGGUGGAAUUCCAGGUGUAGCAGUGAAAUGCGUAGAUAUGUGGAGGAACACCGAUGGCGAAGGCAGCCACCUGGGCCAAUACUGACGCUCAUGCGCGAAAGCGUGGGGAGCAAACAG
rnacentral:rRNA from 1 species